AGAGUUUGAUCCUGGCUCAGAACGAACGCUGGCGGCGCGUUUUAAGCAUGCAAGUCGAACGGCAGCUGUAGCAAUACAGUGAGAGUGGCGAACGGGUGAGUAACACGUAGGUGAUCUGCCCUUUGGUUGGGGAUAGCCUGUGGAAACACAGGGUAAUACCGAAUGAGAUCGCGACCCUUUGGGGAUGCGAUGAAAGCAGCUUCGGCUGCGCCGAAGGAUGAGCCUGCGGCUGAUUAGCUAGUUGGCGGGGUAAAGGCCCACCAAGGCGACGAUCAGUAGCCGGCCUGAGAGGGUGAACGGCCACAUUGGGACUGAGACACGGCCCAGACUCCUACGGGAGGCAGCAGCUAAGAAUCUUCCGCAAUGGACGAAAGUCUGACGGAGCGACGCCGCGUGGAUUAUGAAGGCCGAGAGGUUGUAAGAUCCUUUUCCUGGAGAAGAAUAACAGUGGCAGGUAAUGGCCAUUGGAUGACGGUAUUCGGGGAAUAAGCUCCGGCCAAUUACGUGCCAGCAGCCGCGGUAACACGUAAGGAGCGAGCGUUGUUCGGAAUUAUUGGGCGUAAAGGGCUUGUAGGCGGCCCGCUAAGUCUGGUGUGAAGUCCCACAGCUUAACUGUGGAGACGCAUUGGAUACUGGCAGGCUGGAAUCCGUGAGAGGAAACUGGAAUUCCUAGUGUAGGGGUGAAAUCUGCUGAUAUUAGGAAGAACACCUGAGGCGAAGGCGAGUUUCUGGCACAGGAUUGACGCUAAUGAGCGAAAGCGUAGGGAGCAAACAGGAUUAGAUACCCUGGUAGUCUACGCUGUAAACGAUGUACACUUGGUGGUUGGGAUUUAUUCUGGCUGCCGUAGCUAACGCGUUAAGUGUACCGCCUGGGGAGUAUGCCGGCAACCGUGAAACUCAAAGGAAUUGACGGGGGCCCGCACAAGCGGUAGAGCAUGUGGUUUAAUUCGAUGAUACGCGAGGAACCUUACCAGGAUUUGACAUAUACAGGAACACACUGGAGACAGUGUGGCCGCUUGCGGCCUGUAUACAGGUGCUGCAUGGCUGUCGCCAGCUCGUGCCGUGAGGUGUUGGGUUAAGUCCCGCAACGAGCGCAACCCCUGCUGUCCGUUACCAUCAUUAAGUUGGGGACUCAGGCAGGACUGCCGGUAACAAACCGGAGGAAGGUGGGGAUGACGUCAAGUCAGCAUGGCCCUUAUAUUCUGGGCUACACACGUGCUACAAUGGCCUAUACAGAGCGAAGCGAAGCAGCGAUGCCAAGCGAAACGCAGAAAGUAGGUCUCAGUUCGGAUUGGAGUCUGAAACCCGACUCCAUGAAGUUGGAAUCGCUAGUAAUCGCGCAUCAGAAUGGCGCGGUGAAUACGUUCCCGGGCCUUGUACACACCGCCCGUCA
rnacentral:rRNA from 1 species